AUAGAUUAAAAGAAAAACCAGGAAAAAAAAUCCAGCCUAAAAAGCACUUCAAGGAGGCGCUAGCCUUGAGGCCUUUCGCUUCAUUGAAAUCCAACGCACGAGGCUAAUAAAGGCGCGCCUCUCGACAACACCCAGUCUCGAGUGAACUGUGACUAGUCCAAUGGAUAGAUAAUACAGAGCAUUAUCAACUUUGUUGAACAAAAAUUGUUUAUAACGUUGCAAACAACGACUGAACCGACUGGGUGCUGUCCACCUUAUUAAGAUGUGUAAAAAAAAUUGUUCGCUCGCCUACAAAGAAAAUCUUAAACGAAAAUAAAGAG